CGAACGGGUGAGUAAUACAUAAGUAACCUGCCCUAGACAGGGGGAUAACUAUUGGAAACGAUAGCUAAGACCGCAUAGGUACGGACACUGCAUGGUGACCGUAUUAAAAGUGCCUCAAAGCACUGGUAGAGGAUGGACUUAUGGCGCAUUAGCUGGUUGGCGGGGUAACGGCCCACCAAGGCGACGAUGCGUAGCCGACCUGAGAGGGUGACCGGCCACACUGGAACUGAGACACGGUCCAGACUCCUACGGGAGGCAGCAUG
rnacentral:rRNA from 1 species